GCCCGGGACCCCACCCGCCAACUCCCGCCUGGACCCAGACCGCGUUCCCGGCCGCCGCGCCAGGGUCGCGCCAGGGUCCCGCCCGGCCCCCGCCCGCGUCCUCACCAGGCGCGAAGCCGCCGGCUCGCGGCCGCCGGGGUUGGGCAGCGGCGCCUCCUCGUCCCGCGGCGGGCGCCCUCAGCCUUCCGCCCUCAGCCUUCCGCCCCCAGGAUCGCCAUCUCGCAGCAGGCGUCGGCCCCGGCAGCCAAGGCCGCCCGCAGCCACUCGCAACCCGCACGCCGCGCGCGCCGACACCCGACCCUCCCCCCACCCCCACCCCGGCCACGCGCCACCCCCAGUCGACCCCACACCUCCCCUGCGCGGGAGCGCGCCGCGUGCCCAAGACGCCGGCGCCGCGCUCCGAGCGCGCGCCUCCCGGCCGCCCGCCGUCCCGACACCGCGCGCCGAGCUGCGCUGCGACCGCCCAAAGCCUCCAACUCCGGACCCGGAAUCCGGCUCCCCGCGAGCAUGCGCAGCGAGAGCGCACCGAGGCUGCCUUUGGAAAACUCCGCUCCUCCGGGUCUUCGGAGUGGUCGAGUGGAGACUUACUUUGCACCCAGUAUUUUUUUAGUGCCCCGCUUCAUCUCCAGUACUGACUUCUCAAGUACAGCUCUUAGUCAUUACUUUAGUAGUUGCCUUUGGAGAUUGAUGUCAGAUGUUACCUUUCCUUUUUGUGCCAUUGUUUCCUCUGGGGACCCAUCACAAAGGAAAGAAAACCGUGUGACUACAAACUUGGCCCAGUACUUCUCAACAUGCAUUGUCAUCACAUUUAUUAACCUGAACACCUGCAAUCCUUGAACAACAUUUCUUUAGAUGGUAUGAUCAAAGUAAAACCAGCAUUGUAUGAACAAAAGUAAGUUUUGAAGACACUAAUAGGAUAUAUACUUUCUAUGUUAACUGUAUAUACAAUCCUUUUCUUUGAAAACAAGAAGUUAGAGUAAACUUUAUUGUUGCAGAACAAAAUAAUCAGCUUUAAAAAUUUAGU
rnacentral:lncRNA from 1 species